ensembl:snRNA U2 U2 spliceosomal RNA
AUCACUUCUUGGCCUUUUGGCUAAGAUCAAGUGUAGAAAUUAACCUCUCAGACGGAAAAAAAAAUGAUAGGUUAAUAAAAAUAUUUUUGGGGGGUCAGAAUUCAG